ACGCCCUGCCCCGCCUUAACUGAUGACAUUCCACCAUUGUGAUUUGUUCCUGCCCCACCUUAGCUGAGUGAUUAACCCUGUGAAUUUCCUUCUCCUGGCUCAGAAGCUCCCCGACUGAGCACCUUGUGACCCCCGCCCCUGCCCACCAGAGAACAACCCCCUUUGACUGUAAUUUUCCAUUACCUUCCCAAAUCCUAUAAAACGGCCCCACCCCUAUCUCCCUUCGCUGACUCUCUUUUCGGACUCAGCCCGCCUGCACCCAGGUGAAAUAGACAGCCAUGUUGCUCACACAAAGCCUGUUUGCUGGUCUCUUCACACUGACUCGAGUGAAAUUUGGUGCCGUGACUAGGAUCGGGGGACCUCCCUUGGGAGAUCAAUCCCCCGUCCUCCUACACUUUGCUCUGUGAGAAAGAUCCACCUACAACCUCAGGUCCUCAGACCAACCAGCCCAAGAAACAUCUCACCAAUUUCAAAUCCGUGAUAGAUCACAACAAGAGAUCAUGAAGAGGGCAUGGCCGCCAUGUCAUUCUGGAGAGAGACAGAGUAAAACAAAGAAGGUGAUGGACAGAGUCUUGUUCUGCAACCCAGGCUGGAGUGGAGGGCAGUGGUGUGAUCUCGGCUCACUUCAACCUCCGCCUCUUAGGUUCAAGUGAUUCUCCUGCCUCAGCCUCCCGAGUAGCUGGGACUACAGCAGCCUCUCUACAAGUCUCCUAACUUAACCUGAUGGGAAAACACUUCCUACCACUAACAGCAUCUACUUGAUUACUGAUACUUUGAUCAUGGAGUUUGGGCAUGCCACUUGAUAGAAAUUUGAAGAGCAAUUAUAUUUUUCAAAAAGAGUUUUGAAUAAUGUUAAGAUAGAUUGCAACAUGACUAUCAAUUCUUCCCUUCCCAUCAAAGGAGAGAGUCCGUUUAUCCAGCCUUUGAAUCUUGAUUAUUCAUGUGACUUGCUUCACCCAAUGUAACAUUAAUAAGCACAAUACAAGCAGAGGCUUGCCAAGAACUUGGUUUGUUUCUAAUGCUUAGAAGAAGAAUGGUGUAUGCCAUAUUUCUGCAUUUAGAACUCACGUGGAGACAUGUGUGGCCCAAUUGCUUCUCUUUCAUCUCAGGCAAUAACCAGACACGGGACUGAGGCCAUCCAUGACCAGCCAGCCCUAGCCAACACACAACACACAAGCUGAUCACAGAUGCAUGAUGAGAAAUUCCUAAAAAGAUAAGCAGCAUGACAAAGAAGACAAAGGGAAGAUGCCAGACAACCUGGAAAUUGGAUAAUGGAGACCCAGGGAGGGUAUAAAAGAGAAACUACUUUGUAAUAAUUUAUAUUGAUUAUUCCUUUCAAUAGAUUUUGUGGAGUAGUUCAAUAUUCCCAUAAUCCAUUCUUUGUCACCUGAAGGAAAGGUGAAUGAGAUAGCUCAGAAGUUCCAUAACAAGGCAGUGGCAGGUUUGAGACCAUUGCUUUGUGUUUCUUAAUUUACCUGCCUUUUGUGUGUAUGAUGAGGAUUCCUGCCCUCUUAGCCACUAGUAAAAAAAAGAGAUAAAAAGUAUCAAGGUUUUUUUUUACUAUCAAAUUUUCUUUUUUAACUUGGCCAUCUCUGUCACCAAAUACAUUCUUACACAGAUAUAGUCUUAAAAUUUGUACAUAGUACAAAGCUAUCCACAAUAUUUGUGUUGAAUACAACACAUGUAUAUACAAGCAAGAAACUAACAUGAAUAACAAGUGAUGAGCUAAAGAUUCAUUCUCAAUUAGCCUUUUGUUUUUAUAAAGGGUGUGUGGCUGUUUUUCAUGUCAGUGAUCGUUGGUGUGAAACCAAUAUAGAGUCAGGAGAACAUACUCAUUGUAAUCAUACAUAAUUUAGGACUAGAUGAUGCUUUUUCAACUUCAUUGUGUAUAAAAUAGAUUUAAUUAUGUUGAAGAUGAUGUACAGAAAUGAGUUACUUAGUUACUGAAUGAACUAGCCAAAAUUUCAGCAUUCAUAUCUCAUCAACUGUUGCUAUUUAUCAUUCAAACCUUUAGUAACUCUCAGGAAUCUGAACUUUACUGACUUAUGUGAGAAAUGCACAAGCCACAGAAGUAUUCACAAAUUUAGAAAUCUACUAAGCUCUCAGAAUAUGUAUUUGCAAGAUAAGGUGAACUUUUAUCCCCUGGGACAAACCUGUGUUACACUGAUUGACUCAGCAUUAUAAUUAGUAGUGCCCUUUCACUAUUGAUAUGCUCUUUAUUAGAUGAUGGAUUAAAUGGCUUUCUGGGUCAUUGAUUACAAGAUUCUAUCUUAUAACCAUAUUUUAAUAUUAAAUAUUUAUCAAGAUGUUCAUGUACUAUAUCAGCAAAAAAUUACUAAAUGUAUAUAAGGUGGUUUUGACCUUGCCACUCAAUUAUUUACUAAAAGACUAAGAUGCUCUCUCAAGUAAAUACCUCGCUUUGGUAAAGUUCCAUUACUAAAACUCUCAAGUAUCUGAACUUUUCAUUAUGCUUCCCUAUACUUCUUUUUCAAUCCAGUUUGUCAGUGCCUGUUCAUAGCCUAAUAGAGCAGUUCUCACAGUAUUAGGGGUCAUCAACACUCUGUCAGUGCGUACACGACUAUUUUUAAAAUAAACUAAAAUGCUGUUUGUCUUUUUCACUCUUAUUCUCUAAUGAGUGUCUGGUACAGUUUUCCAGAGGUUACAUGAUGUGUGAUGAUAUCAUCACUCUGAUAGCUAAUGGAAAGUAUGACUGUAUAUUCUGUAAUGUUCCAGGAGUUUCUGAGGUUUAGGUUUAGGUUAUAAAAGGGGGCAUAUGUUCAGAGAUUAACUCAAUUUUUUCUCAGUACUUCUAUUGUGUUUUUACUAAGUACCUUUUCUUAUAUUUGCUAUAAUCUGUAUAAACUUAUUGUCAUACAAUAAAUCAAUAUUUUAAAAUCCCAAUGAUUUCUUUAUGACUACACAAAAACAAGUAGUAAUC
rnacentral:lncRNA from 10 species